AGCAGUAGCCGCGGUAAUACGUAGGUCCCGAGCGUUGUCCGGAUUUAUUGGGCGUAAAGCGAGCGCAGGCGGUUUGAUAAGUCUGAAGUUAAAGGCUGUGGCUCAACCAUAUUUCGCUUUGGAAACUGUCAAACUUGAGUGCAGAAGGGGAGAGUGGAAUUCCAUGUGUAGCGGUGAAAUGCGUAGAUAUAUGGAGGAACACCGGUGGCGAAAGCGGCUCUCUGGUCUGUAACUGACGCUGAGGCUCGAAAGCGUGGGGAGCGAACAGGAUUAGAGACCCCAGUAGUCCCUGUCUCUUAUACA
rnacentral:rRNA from 1 species